rnacentral:rRNA from 1 species
GACGAACGCUGGCGGCGCGCUUAACACAUGCAAGUCGAACGGAAAGGCCUGCUUUCCCUUGUGGAUUGCGGGUACUCGAGUGGCGAACGGGUGAGUAACACGUGAGUGAUCUGCCCCCAACUUGGGUAUAAGCCUGGGAAACUGGGUCUAAUUCCCGAUAGGACUGCAGGGUGGUGCCUGUGGUGGAAAACGAUUUUCUAGUGGUUGGGGAUGAGCUCGCGGCCUAUCAGCUUGUUGGUGGGGUAAUGGCCUACCAAGGCGGCGACGGGGAGCCGGCCUGAGAGGGUGGACGGCCACAUUGGGACUGGGAGACGGCCCAGACUCCUACGGGAGGCAGCAGUGGGGAAUAUUGCACAAUGGGCGGAAGCCUGAUGCAGCGACGCCGCGUGGGGGAUGACGGCCUUCGGGUUGUAAACUCCUUUCGACCGCGAGGAAGCCACCUGGUUGGAAGGGUGGUGACGGUAGUGGUAGAAGAAGCACCGGCUAACUACGUG